rnacentral:lncRNA from 1 species
CCUCGAGCCAUGCUGCAAACAUACACUCGGCUGCUAGCAGGAGAUUUCCGGAGCUGCGCAAUGCACCCACACGUUUCUUCAAGUUCUGCUGCUUCUGGAGAUGGCCUCCAAGACAGAAAUAGUUGCACCAGUGAUUUCCAGCAAAGGCAAAGUCUGAACUAUUCCGGUUGACUUGAUGACCUACAGCUGAGAGCUGGUUUAUGAUGGAGAAGGAUACUGAGACGUCUAGAGGUGGAGAGAGUGACUGCCCCUGAGGAAAUGCCUAACCAACUGCACUAGAGGCAACCAGACCAGAGGGACAAAGAAUGUGAGCUCAGAUUUCCUAUGGGUUUUCUGUAAAACUUUGAGCAUCUAUAAAUGAAGAUAAUGAUGGUGAUUUCUUCAAAGAACUACUCUGAGGAUUCAACAAGGUCACAUUUGUAAGUCUUUUCUAUGACUGAUGAGCAAGGAGGAAGGCUGGGUUGACAAUGGAG